AUAGAGACGAGUCUGCCAAGUCCAAGGAAACUACUCCUCUUAGUCUCACAAUUUCACAAUUCAAUAUCGUGUUUUGAGGUUAUCUCCGCAAGUUAAGGUCGGAACGAGAAAAUCAAGUUAAGGAAAUUAAACGAACGAGCCUAUUUGUUUGGUUGGAACGUAAGAAUCGAAUUCGGGUCCGAGUGAGGGUGGUGUCCCUACUCGGAUUAGUGUACACAGGUGACCGUUGGAAGGUGGCCACCUUCCACGGCACAAAGAUGAUAUAGUGGAGGCCGUUGGGAGGUGGCCACCUCCCCGGCUGGAGAAAGAUGUAGGUGACCGUGGGAGAGCACCAUCUCCAUGGCACUUGGUGUUCAGAUAUGGCAGAAGUACAAAAAGAACUUAGACUGAUCAGUCGAACUUUAGCUCACAAAGAAUUUAGUUGAGCAGUGACGGUGGAGAAUGCUGAGCAGAGUUAUGAUUUUCCUUUUAUUUUAAGUAGAGGCUCUCGGCGGUGCAUGUCCUCAUACAUGUGACCGUGUUCGUUCUGCUGCGUACUAAGGUUCUAGAUGACAUCGACUGUUACUCUGAUAAUUAUUUAUUAAAAUGUAAGAUUUUUAUUCAAGUUCUGGUGAUUAAAAGUUGGUUUGAAA